UAAAGUAUAUAUUAUUGAAUAUAUUUUUGUCUUACCUUACAAUUGAUCAUAUACAUGUAUAUAUAUUACAAGAGUGAUAAAUACAAUUGAAUUGCUUGCUUGACAUAUGCCUAUUGCAGCUGUAACGUGCAACACCAUCAUUAUGAUUAUUAAUGCACAAUUGACCAAAUCAAAUCUCAUUGAUUUGGAAUGAUAUUGCAUGCUUCUUUGUUAAUUUGCUUCGGUCCAUUACGCCCCCUCAAGAUAAAGGUACCAUUAAUUACCUUUAUCUUGGAUGUAAGCUCUGUGAACUUGGUUGUGGCUAAAGGUUUAGUUAGCAAGUCUGCAAGUUGGUCUUUGGUGGACACAUGAGUGACUAUGAGCUUAUUCGCUUGAACUUGCUCUCUGACGAAGUGAUAAUCCAAUGAUAUGUGCUUCAUUCUUGAGUGAAGUAUUGGAUUUGAGCAAAGAUAUGUUGCACCUACAUUGUCACACAAUAAGCGUGGAGGGUCGGGCACCGCUAUUCGAAGCUCAUGUAGCAGGUUUUGUAACCACAUUAAUUCUGUGGUGGCAGUGGCAACUGCACGAUAUUCUGCCUCAGUGGAUGAUCGUGCCACGGUACGUUGUUUCCUUGAGAGCCAUGAGAUAGGAUUACCACCAAAAAAUAUAAUAUAUGCUGAUGUGGAGGUGC
rnacentral:lncRNA from 1 species